UUAAGUGUAAGCUAAUAAAAGCUAUUGGGCCCAUAACCCAAAAAUGGUAAAACCCGCUUAAA
rnacentral:tRNA from 2 species